AAUGAAGUGCCUGACAAAAGGAUUAUUAUGAUAUAAUAAAAAUGUAAAAUUUUACCUUCAUUA
rnacentral:tRNA from 1 species